CCCCUAGAUGUUCUGGGCCGCACGCGCGCUACAAUGAACAGUUCAACAAGUCUUAACCUUGGCCGAUAGGUCUGGGUAAUCUUUGAACGCUGUUCGUGAUUGGGAUAGACCUUUGCAAUUAUGGGUCUUCAACGAGGAAUUCCUAGUAAACGCAAGUCAUCAGCUUGCAUUGAUUACGUCCCUGCCCUUUGUACACACCGCCCGUCGCACCUACCGAUUGAAUGGUCCGGUGAAAUCUCGGGACGGCGGCUUGGUCGCUUGCGUCCGACUGCUGAAACUUGAUUAAACCAUAUCAUUUAGAGGAAGGUGAAGUCGUAACA
rnacentral:rRNA from 1 species